rnacentral:rRNA from 1 species
UACGUAGGGUGCAAGCGUUGUCCGGAAUUAUUGGGCGUAAAGAGCUCGUAGGCGGCUUGUCGCGUCGGCUGUGAAAACCUGGGGCUCAACCUCGGGCCUGCAGUGGGUACGGGCAGACUAGAGUGCGGUAGGGGAGAAUGGAACUCCUGGUGUAGCGGUGGAAUGCGCAGAUAUCAGGAAGAACACCGAUGGCGAAGGCAGUUCUCUGGGCCGUAACUGACGCUGAGGAGCGAAAGCGUGGGGAGCGAACAGG